rnacentral:rRNA from 1 species
AUGAACGUUGGCGGCGUGGAUUAGGCAUGCAAGUCGUGCGAGAACUUGGGAGUGGAGGCUUCGGCCAAAGCGAACAAGGGACAGCGGCGAAAGGGAGAGUAACGCGUGGGUAACCUGCCCCUGGAUCCGGGAUAGCGUCGGGAAACUGGCGGUAAUACCGGAUAAUGUCUCCGGACCAAAGGUGAGAUUCCGUCCGGGGAUGGGCCCGCGUCCUAUUAGUUUGUUGGUGGGGUAACGGCCUACCAAGGCUACGAUGGGUACCGGGUGUGAGAGCAUGGCCCGGCUCACUGGGACUGAGACACUGCCCAGACAUCUACGGAUGGCUGCAGUCGAGAAUCUUCCGCAAUGGGCGCAAGCCUGACGGAGCGAUGCCGCGUGCGGGAUGAAGGCCUUCGGGUUGUAAACCGCUGUCAGUUGGGAGGAAAUCGUAAGGGGUUCUCUCCUUACGUUGACCGAUCUUCAGAGGAAGUGCAGGCUAAGUUCGUGCCAGCAGCCGCGGUAAC